UACGUAGGUGACAAGCGUUAUCCGGAUUUACUGGGUGUAAAGGGCGUGUAGGCGGUUUGGCAAGUCAGAAGUGAAAUUCCCGGGCUUAACUUGGGCGCUGCUUCUGAAACUGCUUAACUUGAGUACUGGAGAGGAUAGUGGAAUUCCUAGUGUAGCGGUAAAAUGCACAGAUAUUAGGAGGAACACCGGUGGCGAAGGCGGCUAUCUGGACAGUAACUGACGCUGAGGCGCGAAAGCACGGGGAGCAAACAGG
rnacentral:rRNA from 1 species